rnacentral:rRNA from 1 species
AACGAACGCUGGCGGCGCGCCUAAUACAUGCAAGUCGAGCGAGAAGACGUAGCAAUACGUUUGUAAAGCGGCGAACGGGUGAGGAAUACAUGGGUAACCUACCCUCAGCUCUGGGAUAAGCCUGGGAAACCGGGUCUAAUACUGGAUAUGACUCCAUGACGCAUGUUGUGGGGUGGAAAGCCUUGUGCGGCUGAGGAUGGGCCCGCGGCCUAUCAGCUUGUUGGUGGGGGAUGGCCUACCAAGGCGACGACGGGUAGCCGGCCUGAGAGGGCGACCGGCCACACUGGGACUGAGACACUGCCCGGACAUCUACGGAUGGCUGCAGUAACGAAUAUUCCG